UUUAAGCCCUGUAAAGAACCACUAUGAUGAUUAAUGCAUAAUGCAUGAUUUGAUCAUGUUUUUCAACAUCCAACACACUUUAAAGACCGUCCAGCCAUUCAGCAGUACCUCAAGGAUGGUAUAUUCAAAUGCCCCUGCUGCAAAUUCUCUACAGAGAAUAACUACAAUAUAUCUAAUCGUAUUUAUAAUCACCUUAAACAUGCUGUGCAUCAUGCAGAGUAUGACAUUUGCAAAUGCAACCUGCAGUGCAGGUCAACUGCACACUUCCACUGUCUGUAUUGUACUCAGACAAUAAUCAGGAAAGACCGGGUAACUACACACUUAAAUGACUGCCCCUCCAACACGCCCCUUUCUUCUUCUGCCUCCCCCCAUCGUUUGGCCUCCAGCAUUGCAGCGACCAGUGCUCCACCAUCUCCUGCCGCCUCUCUUGCGCCCUACCACACAAGAGGAGUAAAAAAGAAUCCGUCAUGUGUCCACAAUGUGCUAUGACUAUAAACAGGAGAAACGCGAGACUGCACAUUCAGAGGAAACAUAAGCCCAAAGGAGUAGACAUUACAGCAAGUAAGCAUUUGAAAUCCCAGGCAAUAGAUUAUAAAAAUGGAAUAUUUGCUGUGGUGAAGUCAUUUUUAGGACCCAACACUCCCAUCCAUGUGGUCAAAAGGACUUGGGGGAAGGAACAGUCGACCAAAUGUGAGCUGGAUAUCUGCAAAAUCAAUGCAGAAUUUGCUGAACGCUCAAAUUGUAGACCUUUUGAGUGUCACCACAUCCAGUCACUUGUUUACUGUCCACAAUUCAGAGGUGAAAACCCCUCUCUCACUGAAGAUGUACUGCAGGAGAUGGUGAAUGAGAAAUGCUUUGGAGAGGACAAGAAGGAGAGUUGUCUGAAACGCCAAAGGGAGGCUACAGAUGCAGGAACACCUCUGUCCUGUAAACUCUCAAUUUGCAAUCCCUCAACAAAGAGGUUUAUUUCCAUUUAUGAGCCUACUGUAUCGUAUUACAGUAGGUUUGGAUGACUUAUGGUCACCUUUGACUCAAAACAGAAUUCCUGGCACUGUCCUUGUGCAAGGCCAAGGCAGUCUUGCCUGCACUAAUGUUUUGCAAAGUGGCACCUGUUUCAGUUUGAGCGUGAACUUUUUCAGAGGACACGAAGUGUGGAGGAAGAACUUGUUCCAAACCGUUUCCCUACAGCAGUGGAAGGUGAAGAGGAAGAGGAAGGAGGCCACUACCCACCAGAGGGAGAUGUUUUAGAAAAAAUGGUGCAGUACAUAUACCACCGCAAGAGAAUGCCCUCUGUACCAGACACUAAUAUGGUAAUCACAGAUAAUUUCCCAAGAUUGUAUACCCCAGCAGAAACAUUCUGCACUGAAUGUUCUGAGGCAGCUCUACUUGGGGAACUGGAGCUAAUAACAACCAAGGGCAAAAUCCUCACUGUGACAGGUGUUAUUGAAGGAAUUUCAUUGUUCAGAAAGCAGUGCUACACAUGUGGCAUGAUGUACCGAUAUCAGGAGUGGUCAGAUGGUGUCUACAAUUUUGAUGACCAUACACUCCUGUCCUUGCACCCCUGUCUCUUUCUUCAGAACAGUCUUCAGACCCACCAGGCUGUAAGUAGAACCAUUGAGGUUUUAGAGAGAACCUCCGGCCAGACCUAUCCCUCAAAAAACAGAGUUCUGCACUCCUACCUGGCAUUCGAAGUGCUUUAUGAUCAUGACUACACAUAUGCAUGUGUGUCAUGUGGACAUA